GGAUUCCCCUAGUAACUGCGAGUGAAGCGGGAAAAGCUCAAAUUUAAAAUCUAAUGGUCCUUGGCCAUUCGAGUUGUAAUUUAGAGAAGCGUCUUCCGCGCCAGACCAUGUACAAGUCUCCUGGAACGGAGCGUCAUAGAGGGUGAGAAUCCCGUCUUUGACAUGGACCCUUGGUGCUUCUGUGAUGCGCUCUCAAAGAGUCGAGUUGUUUGGGAAUGCAGCUCAAAAUGGGUGGUGAACUCCAUCUAAGGCUAAAUAUUGGCGAGAGACCGAUAGCGAACAAGUACCGUGAGGGAAAGAUGAAAAGCACUUUGGAAAGAGAGUGAAACAGUACGUGAAAUUGUUGAAAGGGAAACACUUGAAGUCAGUCGCGUCGAUCGAGACUCAGCCUUGCCUYGGCUUGGCGUACUUCUCGACUUGACGGGCCAGCAUCAAUUUCRUCCCUCGGAUAAUGGCAGGGGAAAGGUGGCACCUUCACSGGUGUGUUAUAGUCUCUUGUCGCAURCGAGGGGUGGGAUUGAGGAACUCAGCACGCACCUCACGGUGUCGGGGCUUCGGCCCACGUUACGUGCUCAGGAUGCCGGCGUAAUGGCUUUAAAUGACCCGUCUUGAAACACGGACCAAGGAGUCUAACAUGCCUGCGAGUGUUCGGGUGGAAAACCCGUGUGCGUAAUGAAAGUAAAAGUUGGGACCUCUGUCGUGGAGGGCACCGACGCCCGGACCAGACCUUCUGUGACGGAUCUGCGGUAGAGCAUGCAUGUUGGGACCCGAAAGAUGGUGAACUAUGCCUGAAUAGGGUGAAGCCAGAGGAAACUCUGGUGGAGGCUCGUAGCGAUUCUGACGUGCAAAUCGAUCGUCAAAUUUGGGUAUAGGGGCGAAAGACUAAU
rnacentral:rRNA from 2 species